rnacentral:rRNA from 1 species
AGAACGAACGCUGGCGGCGCGUUUUAAGCAUGCAAGUCGAACGGCAAGGCGGGUAGCAAUAUCUGUCUGAGAGUGGCGAACGGGUGAGUAACACGUAGGUGAUCUGCCUCUGGAUGGGGGAUAGCCCGUGGAAACACGGGGUAAUACCGCAUGAGGCCCUUGGAGUAGAGUCUGAGGGUGAAAGGUGCAACUGCAUCGUCUGGGGAUGAGCCUGCGGUCCAUUAGGUAGUUGGCGGGGUAAGAGCCCACCAAGCCGACGAUGGAUAGCCGGCCUGAGAGGGUGUACGGCCACACUGGAACUGAGACACGGUCCAGACUCCUACGGGAGGCAGCAGCUAAGAAUCUUCCGCGAUGGGGGAAACCCUGACGGAGCGACGCCGCGUGGAUGAUGAAGGCCGUAAGGUUGUAAAAUCCUUUUGUCGGUGAAGAAUAAGGGAGGGAGUGGAAAGCCCUUCUGAUGACGUUAGCCGAUGAAUAAGCCCCGGCUAAUUACGUGCCAGCAGCCGCGGUAAUACGUAUGGGGCAAGCGUUGUUCGGAGUUAUUGGGCGUAAAGGGCGUGUAGGCGGCUCAUCAAGUCUGGUGUGAAAAUGCAGGGCUUAACCCUGCAGAUGCGCUGGAAACUGGUGGGCUUGAGUUCUUGAGGGGAAGCUGGAAUUCCAGGUGUAGGGGUGAAAUCUGUAGAUAUCUGGAAGAACACCGGUGGCGAAGGCGAGCUUCUAUCAGAGGACUGACGCUGAGGCGCGAAAGCGUGGGGAGCAAACAGGAUUAGAUACCCUGGUAGUCCACGCUGUAAACGAUGUGCACUAGGCGUGGGGCCCGUACGGGUUCUGUGCCGUAGUUAACGUGUUAAGUGCACCGCCUGGGGAGUAUGCUCGCAAGGGUG